ACGGGGGAUGCAAGCGUUAUCCGGAUUUAUUGGGUUUAAAGGGUGCGUAGGCGGUUUGAUAAGUCAGCGGUGAAAUAUUUCAGCUUAACUGAAAGGGUGCCGUUGAUACUGUCAGGCUUGAAUAUGGUUGCUGUGGGUGGAAUGUGUGGUGUAGCGAUGAAAUGCUUAUAUAUCACACAGAAUACCGAUUGCGAAGGCAGCUAACAAAGCCAGUAUUGACGCUGAUGCUCGAAAGUUUGGGGAUCAAACUG
rnacentral:rRNA from 1 species